rnacentral:lncRNA from 1 species
CCUACAAACAGGUUGCCUCCCUGGUCCUAGGCUGCUCAUGGCUGGGAUGUGGUUUACUAUAGAACCAAAGAAAGGCACUGAGGCUCUCAGGAAGCAAGCUCUGGACACUGAGGAAGGACUGUGUCCUAGUGUCCUCUGAUGUAGAAGUACUUCUCAGCUCUCCUUCAAAAGAUUUAAUGUUUUUAAUACUACAGAAUCCAGUGGCAUUCUUUGGGGGAUAAUAAAAUGAGAAAAUGAGUUUCGGGAGGUUACGACGUAAAUAGCUCAAGGUCACAGUUGCCUGUUCCUCCCGUGUGACGUGUGGCGGCAGACUGACAGGAACUGGAUCUUUGGGUCAUUUCCAACUUUUCUUCUUGUAUGUGGCCUCCCUAUGAAGUCUUCAAAGAAUGUCUCAGUUCUAAGAAAAGAGCCCCUAGCAAGCCCCACAGAUAUCUGUAAUAUGGUGAAGAAAAGAAGAACACUGAUGAAGAAGAUCCUGUAAGCAUUGUCUCUAAGCCCCCCUUCUCUCACCUCUGUACCCCCCAGCCUUGGAGAACACACAUACAGCAGCAUGACAAAGAACUGCUUUAUACUAUUACAAAAUAAAUAUAAAUAAUUGUUUGACACUAUAA